UUCCGCCUGGUGGCUAGUGGCCAACGGGUGCCUAUAUACAUCGGAUAGUGCCCCGUAGUGGGGGAUAACUAGUCCAAUGAUUACCUUAUGCCGCAUACGACCUGAGGGUUAAGGCUGGGGAUCGCAAGGUCUCGCGCUUCAGGAGCGGCCGAGGUCUGAUUACCUAGUUGGUGGGGUAAGAGCCUACCAAGGCCACCAUCACUGGCUGGUUUGAGAGGACAAUCCUCCACACUGGGACUGAGACACGGGUCUCAAUCCAAAGGGAGGCAGCAGGGGGGAAUUUUGAAUAUUGGGGGACGAACGUAUCCCGGACUGCCCCCUGUUUGAACAAGGACUACAGGUUGUAAAGCCCUUUU
rnacentral:rRNA from 1 species